CUUGUUCGAAUGUAUUUAUUGGUCGGUAUAUCAUGAAAUAUAAAAGUUAAACAGUUAAUAUAUAAUCAACUUGAAUUUGCCAUUGAUGAGGGACAUUCCGUUUUAAAUUUUCCUUGAAAGUCGGUAUUUUUGUAUUUUAGUAUUUUUUUAAACCGUUUGUAAAUUAAAAACAGCAUUGAAAUCACAUUUAAAUGACAUUGCGUAAGCCAUUGAUCUUCAGAGACCAGGUAGCAUGCAUAAAGUAUCAAUUGUAUGUAUCAAAGGACCCGUUGUUAAAUACUGUCUUCUUCUAUGAUUACUAUUGGGAAUUCUCACCUGUAUAUCUAUGAUUGUAUCUAUUCAACAUAACCGCGAUUGAUGUGAACAGUCUUUUCAUGUACAUGUUGGACCGAUCCAAACAUUUGUAGACCGGUAUGUUUUCCAAAUAGUGAUUAUUUUGAUUUGUAAAUAUUUAAGUAAUCGAUAUCAUUUAAAUGUAAACUGGGAAAAAAAUUUACUUAAUUUCCUGCCCUGGAUGAAAUGUACAAUGAACUUGAAAAAUACACAAUGAAUGUUGAUAGGCAUGAAACAAAAUUGUUUAAAUGCCGAAUUAUCUGUAUUAUAAUAGGUAAUAUUGUAUUUGAAACUGAUAACGAAGCUAAACUUCUGGGUGUGUAAAAUUGAUCGUUGAUUGUUCUGUGAUAUGGUCAUACCAUAUCGAUAUUUAAAAAAGAUCGAGAAAAUGUGUGUAUCGAACAGAUAGAAGUGUUUCACCUUACCUGAAGUAUUGAACUUUAAUAUUUUUCCACAUUUUAGUGAUCGGUGAAUUAUCUGGUCAGGUGCAAAAAUGAUGUUGAUAUUACUAAAAAUGUCAAGCUUCAUAUAUAGAAGAACAGCACGAUUACAUUUAGAGGAGCGUUAUAUUAUGACAUAUACAUACAUUUUUUAGAUAUCUGGGAUCGAUUCUAAAACAGUAAUUGAUUGGCCAUUAUGACAAAAGUGUGUCAGAAAUCAUAUCUGAUAUUCUUCCUAAGUCAUAAUAACCUUCCAUCAUUACCGAACUGAACAAAGAAAUAACACGACGGAUGCCGUAUACGGUGCAGGAAAUGCUUACGCUUCCGGAGCACCUGAUUUCACUCCCGGUUUUUCGUGGAGUUCGUGUUGUUUCUUAUUUCCUAUUUGUAACUGUUGAUGUAAAUGUCUUUUGGUUUUAUGAGUCUUUGUUAACUCAUUGGUUUUGAUUGUUAUUGUCUUAUUUGUAGUAGUAUUUUUUUAUUAUUGAAAUGUUUAAUUCAUGUUGUAAUAUAUGUAUUUAAUGCAGAACUCUAGUAAACUAAUUUUUGGAUUACAUAUGUUAUCCUGUUGAAAUUAAGGAUAUUAUCAAUAUAUAAUUAAAACCAGGAAUUGUCAAGUUUGCGGGCCUUUUUUAAUCGUAGAAGGAAAUAUCGAUGGGACCGUGAAUACGUAAUUUUACAAUAAACUCAAUAUAAAAAAAGUUUCUAAACAAACUAAUAGAUAAAUUGAAUUUUGAAUACCAAAUCAAUAAACAAAAAUCUCUCAAAAUAGUGUAAAACGGCAAAUUUAUAUGAACGAUAACUAUUUUGUCACGUUAAAGACUUCAAAUUCACAGCAUAAGUGAUCUUUCUUAGGUAC
rnacentral:lncRNA from 1 species